rnacentral:rRNA from 1 species
UACAGAGGGUGCGAGCGUUAAUCGGAAUUACUGGGCGUAAAGCGUGCGUAGCCGGUUAUUUAAGUCGGAUGUGAAAGCCCCGGGCUCAACCUGGGAAUUGCAUUCGAGACUGAAUAGCUAGGGUGCGGUAGAGGGAAGCGGAAUUUCCGGUGUAGCGGUGAAAUGCGUAGAUAUCGAGAGGAACACCUGCGGCGAAGGCGGGUUGCUGGGCCGACACUGACGCUGAUGCGCGAAAGCCAGGGGAGCGAACGGG